GUCUUAAGACUUGUGCUUGUUUUCUAGUUUCUGUUUUAGUUCCAAAUUCUUUCCUCCUUCUCUUGCCCUCCAAGCUUUUCCCUUCAUCGUUCACCUCUCUUCUCUCCUCCUUUGCUCCUUUCUUUUUCCAUCAUUCUUCUAGUUAUCUCUUGCUCCAAACAGGUUUUCCUAUCCUCCAUUUUUUCCUUCUCUCCUUUUCUUUCAUUCUGUCAUUCGUUUGUCCUUUCUCUACCCUUUCUUGCUCCUUUGCUACACUCUUCAUGUCCUCCACUCUCUGUCCAUCUUGCUGUCUCAUUGUUAUUCUCUCUCUUUUCAGCCAGUUCCUUUCUUCAGCAGGUCCGGGUCUUUCCAGGACAUGACACCUGCCUUAUUUGAAAUGCAUCUGACGUCACUAACCCAGCCCGCUCCGCUCUGUUUAAAAAGAAGCGUUUGUUAUCUGCUCUCAACCUCUGGAACAUCUACACUUAGCUUUGAACCAUGUGCAUGCUGAAGUGGUCAGUCUUGGUAGUGCUGUGUGGACUCAUUCCUCUGAGCAAUGCUGCUUGCUUUAAUGCAAAACUGGAAUUUGGUGCGACUCAUUGUCAGGAUCUAGCGGAUAAGACCUGGCACCCCGUGGGCUCUGCCUGGACCAACAGCAAAUGCAACAAGUGUAAAUGUAACCCCACAUCACUGAGAUGCUGUGAUGGUUUACCAUCAAAACUGCACUUUUCUGGUGACUGUGAGGUGAAAUAUAAUUAUGAAACCUGUACAUUUAAAGUUUUCCAAAAGGGAAAUCCAGCCAUCGAGUGUCCUUAUUCUGCUACUGGAAAGUGAUGCUCAAGUACACAAA